AUUAUCAUUGUAAUAUUAUUUAUAUAUAAUAUAAUAUUUUAAUAUUUGAAUUUCUAGUAUGUAUAUGCGCACGCGUAUAUAUAUUAUACAAUACGUUCGAUACUUUUAUCUUGGACAUGAAACAAGGAAUAAAAGGAAGUUGAGAUUAUUAUAAUUAUAACACAAUGGAUGUACAAGGUUCUUUGAGAGAAGCUUUGUAUGAAACGUUAAGUGGAAUUUUGUCUCCUCAUACAGAGACAAGACAAGCAGCUGAACAAAGAAUACAAGCAUUGGAAGUUACAGAGGAAUUUGGUAUACAUUUGACAGAAUUUGUAGUAGAUCCUAAUGGACAUUUACCUAUUAGACAAUUAGCUUCUGUAUUGUUAAAACAAUAUGUUGAAACUCAUUGGUCUUCUGUGGCUGAGAAAUUUCGUCCUCCUGAAAUAAAAUAUACAACAAAGGAAAGAAUUAAAGAAUUACUGCCAUUAGGACUUCGUGAAUCCAUUAGUAAAGUACGUACAGCAGUAGCAUAUGCGAUAUCAGCUAUUGCACAUUGGGAUUGGCCAGAAAAUUGGCCAGGUUUAUUCGAUAUACUUGUUAGUUGUUUAAGCGGGGAAAGCGAGUAUGCCGUUCACGGAGCAAUGCGAGUUUUAACAGAAUUUACUUCAGAUCUUACUGAUAAUCAAUUACCUAAUGUGGGACCAGUAAUUCUUCAAGAAAUGUAUAGAAUAUUUCAAAGUGAAAACCAAUAUUCUAUUAGAACCCGUGGUCGUGCUGUCGAAAUUUUUACUACAAUUACAACGUUAGUUGCCGCUACUGGAAUUUAUCAAAAAGGAUUUACAGAGCAAUAUCUACAACCGGUUAUCCCCAUGUUUUGUGAAAAAUUUGUUCACUGUUUACGACUGUCUGAUGGUUCAACUAGCGAUAGCGGGCUUAAAACCGAUGUUAUUAAAGCUAUAAAUUGUCUAGUUACUAAAUUACCUAAGUACAUAUCAAGAUUUUUACCUCAGAUGCUACCACCAGUUUGGGAAACUUUAGUACAAAGUGCUAAACUCUAUCAAGAAAGAUCUGUAAAUGGAGAAGGAGAUACAAAUGAUAAAGAGGUCGAUUCAGAUGGUGAAAUAAUUAACUUUAAUAAUUUGAUCAUUGCGAUAUUCGAAUUUAUUCAUUCUAUCGUAGAUCGUAAACGAUUUUCAAAUCUUUUGGAUAAUUUAAUGCAAGAAGUGAUGUAUUAUUUAAUCAUUUUUAUGCAAAUAACCGAUGAUCAAAUCGAAUUAUGGACGACUAGUCCUAAUCAAUUUGUCGAAGAAGACGAUAUAUUUGCUUAUAACGUUCGCAUUUCAGCUCAGGAACUUUUAACGGCUUUAGUGAAUUAUUCCGAGGAAAAAGCGGUGAAUGCACUUUGCGAAGUAGUUACUCGUCAUAUCGAAGCAACUAGUAGAUUACAAAGUACAAACAAUGGAAGCGAGAAUAAUGAAACGUGGUGGAAAUUACGAGAAUCGUCUAUUUUAGCAUUAAGUAAAACAAAAGAUGCCGUUGUGGAAAGGCAGCAAACUGGAAUUCUUCAAUUCGAUAUUAUUAGAUUUUUGGAUACAAUCGUUUUAGCUACUUUAAAGGAUUCAGGAGCACCACCAUUACUUCUUGGUCGUUGUUUAUGUAUCGGUGGCAAAUAUGCUGAAAUAAUGCCACCAGAAAUGAGUUCACGUUUCUUAGAAGCAACAGUUAAUGGGUUGCAAGAGAAUCAACUUUCGUGUAUUCGUAUCAGUGCAGUGAAAGCUAUUUAUUGGUUCUGCAAGGCAUCGAUGAUGGAAAAUAACAAUACCCUCGGCAAUAUUAUACGAUCUCAUUUGCCAAAUAUAUUCCAAGGACUUUUCAAUUUAGCCAAUCAACCAUCAACGGAAAUUUUAAUAUUAGUAAUGGAAACUCUGCAAGUUUUGGUUUCGUUAGACAAAGCAUUUACUGCUUCAAUGGAGAAUAAAAUUUGUCCCUUAACUAUCGCUGCAUUUUUAAAGUUUUAUAGCGAUCCUGAAAUUUUGAAUUUGUGUCAAGACAUAUUUAAAAGUUUAACGCAAAAUCCUGAUUGUAUAGGACCAUUGCAAACCCGAUUGAUACCGACGUUAACCAGCAUGAUGACUGUAACUCCUAUGAAUAAAUCAAAAGAUGAAAGAUGUCAAAACGUAGCUCUGGAUAUUUUGCAAGUAUUGGUACAAUAUUCUCCUAGACCUCUGAGCAGCGCAUUGGUCGAAACUGCGUUUCCUGCCGCUUGUCAUUGUAUUUUGAAUUCAGAGGACAACGAAACCUUGCAAAGCGGUGGAGAAGUAAUACGGACUUAUCUAGCUGUCGCGGCUCGACAAGUGACGGUACAUCGAGAUAACGAUGGUCAAACAGGCCUGCAGUACAUACUGCAGAUCAUCGCUCAGCUGUUGAAUCCUCAGUCGAGCGAGUUUACAGCGACUUUUGUCGGACGAUUGGUGACGACGUUAAUUAGAAAAGCGGGAAACACAUUGGGAGAAAAUCUCGAUCUAUUAUUGAAAGCUGUGCUGAGUAAAAUGCAGCGAGCCGAGACGUUGACCGUGGUACAGAGUUUGCUCAUGAUAUACGCUCAUCUGAUAAACACAGAAUUUGACGCUGUCCUAAAUUUUCUGUCGACCGUACCCGGUCCAACAGGACAGAGCGCUCUCGCAUUUGUGCUCUCUGAAUGGGUGAGCAGGCAACAUUUAUUUUUCGGCAGAUACGACCGAAAGGUAGCAACGGUCGCGCUUUGCAAGAUAUUGGAGUACGGUGUUACUCACGGAGAUAGUCGAUUGAACGAGAUCACUGUCAAAGGAGAUGAAAUAUUUUCAGCGAGUGACUAAUUAAAAUUCGAGAAUACGUAGGAAACGAAGAAGGCGUGAGGACUAGGAGUAAAGCCGAAUCACAGCCUUAUCAAUGGACCACUAUACCUGUUUUGGCAAAGAUAUUCAAGCUGAUAAUUAACGAGUUAUCGAACGACAUCGAAGCGGUCGCUGCUAAUCAGGACACGGACGAAUCGGACAACGAAGACGACGAAGAUGAC
rnacentral:misc_RNA from 1 species